rnacentral:lncRNA from 1 species
UGUGUGAUUAAUUUAAAUACAACAACCAUAACUAUAAAUUAAAAUGUAUCGAUAGUUCUGUACCGUGUACUUAGAUAUGCACAUUUUGAAGUUUGGUCUGAAUGACUUCGUUAGUUCAUGAAAUUGAAAGUGAAACUUAUGUAGUUAUACUAUACAUUGCAGAACAGACGUAUGCACCAGGGAAAUAGAAAUGCCCCAUUCAUAUGUCCUGUAUGCAAGAAACCAUUCAAAUCAUAUGAAUCAGAAAGAACCCAUUUCCACUACCAGCAUACAAGUCAUCGAAACUUUGCCUGUAACAUUUGUGGGAAAGUGUUUACACGGAAACAUGCAAUGUUGCAGCAUCGAUUGAAGCACAGUGAAUUUGAACAGUUUAGUCCAGUAACUACAUUGUACCAUGCUUAAAACAAACAACCAGGGCCAUUUUUACCUACUGACAAUGGUGAACAGACUUGGCCUUAUCGAUGUGAAAUCUGUAACAAAAGUUUUUUAUCAUAUGUGUCAGAAAGAUCUCAUGUCCAUUACCAGCACAGAAGCCACCGUAAAUUUCCUUGUAACCACUGUGGAAAAGUUUUCACAAGAAGACAUACAAUGAUAACUCAUUUUCGGCAAAAACACUUGUAGCUCUAAUUGUUUCAUUUGCACAGUGUGUUUGAAAACAAACGGUACUGUAAGCAGUAUUUAUUUUUGUUUUCUUUAUAAGUUUAUCAUUGUUAAUUAUAAGAAAUCUAAACAAAUUUGAUACGCGGGGUGAGUCAAAAGAUCUAAUUUUUCCAGUUGUUUGUUAAGUAGGUAUGAAAUAUCAAAAAUCUGCUGGCAUAGGAUGUUUAGAGACAUUGGGGACCAUUUAUACUUGGCACGUCCAGAUAAUAAAGAUCAAAUGAAGGUUAUUAAUGUGCAUGAGUUUGCCUAAGUUUAUAACUUACCCUGAAUUAAAACAAAAUUUUUGAUUUACAACUUAUACUUAUGCUAAACCCAUAAGGAAAGUAAUGUUUCUAGAAUAAUGUCAUUGUGCACUACAACUUUUGUAUUAGCACAUUUUUACCUGAAACUGAUAGUUUCAGAGAUAACAACUGAUUGACUUUCAUAACAGGACAUUGUCAGUUAUCAAGUAGCCCCCAGUAUGCCUACGCAUCUUUUCUCAGCAGAACUUCAAUUUUCUACAACUACUUCACAACAACAGUGAAUAUCGGCACUUGUGACUCACCCAACACAGUUGGCAUUUCUUAAAAUCAAGGUGAUAUAAUACUUACCAAGUUGAAAGGUAGAUACACUGUAUUCUACUACAACUUAGAACUUCCAUUUUAAGUAAUAUAAACUUAUUCUAAAAAUUUUUGAUAAAAAUGACUUUUUUGAAUUUAAAUUCGAGAUUGCCAUAUUUAUAUCAAAUGUACUUUUUGUUAUAUUAAAAGAUAUAGUGGAGAGUAUGUAUGGGUAUACAGACUGAUUAAUACUUAACUGAAUACAUUAAUACAGUUGGAUAUUGUCACUUCUGAAGUUUAAUUAAUUUUUUUUAUAACAAGUACUCAUCUUAACUUUUAAAAGUUGUUUAUCA